rnacentral:tRNA from 1 species
GUCUGGGUGGCUCAGUCAGUUAAGCAUCUGACUUCGACUCAGGUCAUGAUCUCUCGGUUCAUGGGUUCAAACCCCAUGACAGAUU